rnacentral:rRNA from 1 species
GACGAACGCUGGCGGCGUGCUUAACACAUGCAAGUCGAACGGAAAGGCCCUGCUUUUGUGGGGUGCUCGAGUGGCGAACGGGUGAGUAACACGUGAGUAACCUGCCCUUGACUUUGGGAUAACUUCAGGAAACUGGGGCUAAUACCGGAUAGGAGCUCCUGCUGCAUGGUGGGGGUUGGAAAGUUUCGGCGGUUGGGGAUGGACUCGCGGCUUAUCAGCUUGUUGGUGGGGUAGUGGCUUACCAAGGCUUUGACGGGUAGCCGGCAUGAGAGGGUGACCGGCCAAAUUGGGACUGAGAUACGGACCAGACUCCUACGGGAGGCAGCAGUGGGGAAUAUUGCACAAUGGGCGGAAGCCUGAUGCAGCAACGCCGCGUGCGGGAUGACGGCCUUCGGGUUGUAAACCGCUUUCGCCUGUGACGAAGCGUGAGUGACGGUAAUGGGUAAAGAAGCACCGGCUAACUACGUG